CCUACGGGAGGCAGCAGUGAGGAAUAUUGGUCAAUGGCCGUAAGGCUGAACCAGCCAAGUCGCGUGAAGGAAGAAGGAUCUAUGGUUUGUAAACUUCUUUUAUAGGGGAAUAAAGGUAUCCACGUGUGGAUAUUUGCAUGUACCCUAUGAAUAAGCAUCGGCUAACUCCGUGCCAGCAGCCGCGGUAAUACGGAAGGUCCGGGCGUUAUCCGGAUUUAUUGGGUUUAAAGGGAGCGUAGGCGGCAUGUCAAGCGUGCUGUGAAAUGUCCGGGCUCAACCCGGGCCUUGCAGCGCGAACUGGCGUGCUUGAGUCCGGGGAAGGCAGGCGGAAUUCCUAGUGUAGCGGUGAAAUGCGUAGAUAUUAGGAGGAACACCAGUGGCGAAGGCGGUCUGCUGGACAGCAACUGACGCUGAGGCGCGAAAGCGUGGGGAGCAAACAGGAUUAGAUACCCGGGUAGUC
rnacentral:rRNA from 1 species